UACGUAGGGUGCGAGCGUUAAUCGGAAUUACUGGGCGUAAAGCGUGCGUAGACGGUUGUACAAGCUCGAUGUGAAAGCCCCAAGCUUAACCUGAGAAUGGCAUUGAGGACUGUGCGGCUGGAGUGCGGCAGAGAGAGGUGGAAUUCCACGUGUAGCAGUGAAAUGCGUAGAGAUGUGGAGGAACACCGAUGGCGAAGGCAGCCUCCUGGGCCGACACUGACGCUGAUGCACGAAAGCGUGGGGAGCAAAC
rnacentral:rRNA from 1 species